GAUCAGGCUAACCCUUAGUUGUUGGCUGUAAGUCCAGUGUAGGUAGGGAUCAGGCUAACCCUUAGUUGUUGGCUGUGAGUCCAGUGUAGGUAGGGAUCAGGCUAACCCUUAGUUGUUGGCUGUAAGUCCAGUGUAGGUAGGGAUAAGGCUAACCCUUAGUUGUUGGCUGUAAGUCCAGUGUAGGUAGGGAUAAGGCUAACCCUUAGUUGUUGGCUGUAAGUCCAGUGUAGGUAGGGAUAAGGCUAACCCUUAGUUGUUGGCUGUAAGUCCAGUUUAGGUAGGGAUAAGGCUAACCCUUAGUUGUUGGCUGUAAGUCCAGUUUAGGUAGGGAUAAGGCUAACCCUUAGUUGUUGGCUGUAAGUCCAGUGUAGGUAGGGAUAAGGCUAACCCUUAGUUGUUGGCUGUAAGUCCAGUUUAGGUAGGGAUAAGGCUAACCCUUAGUUGUUGGCUGUAAGUCCAGUGUAGGUAGGGAUAAGGCUAACCCUUAGUUGUUGGCUGUAAGUCCAGUUUAGGUAGGGAUAAGGCUAACCCUUAGUUGUUGGCUGUAAGUCCAGUGUAGGUAGGGAUCAGGCUAACCCUUAGUUGUUGGCUGUAAGUCCAGUGUAGGUAGGGAUCAGGCUAACCCUUAGUUGUUGGCUGUAAGUCCAGUGUAGGUAGGGAUAAGGCUAACCCUUAGUUGUUGGCUGUAAGUCCAGUUUAGGUAGGGAUAAGGCUAACCCUUAGUUGUUGGCUGUAAGUCCAGUGUAGGUAGGGAUAAGGCUAACCCUUAGUUGUUGGCUGUAAGUCCAGUUUAGGUAGGGAUAAGGCUAACCCUUAGUUGUUGGCUGUAAGUCCAGUUUAGGUAGGGAUAAGGCUAACCCUUAGUUGUUGGCUGUAAGUCCAGUGUAGGUAGGGAUAAGGCUAACCCUUAGUUGUUGGCUGUAAGUCCAGUUUAGGUAGGGAUAAGGCUAACCCUUAGUUGUUGGCUGUAAGUCCAGUGUAGGUAGGGAUAAGGCUAACCCUUAGUUGUUGGCUGUAAGUCCAGUUUAGGUAGGGAUAAGGCUAACCCUUAGUUGUUGGCUGUAAGUCCAGUGUAGGUAGGGAUCAGGCUAACCCUUAGUUGUUGGCUGUAAGUCCAGUUUAGGUAGGGAUAAGGCUAACCCUUAGUUGUUGGCUGUAAGUCCAGUGUAGGUAGGGAUAAGGCUAACCCUUAGUUGUUGGCUGUAAGUCCAGUGUAGGUAGGGAUAAGGCUAACCCUUAGUUGUUGGCUGUAAGUCCAGUGUAGGUAGGGAUAAGGCUAACCCUUAGUUGUUGGCUGUAAGUCCAGUGUAAGUAGGGAUAAGGCUAACCCUUAGUUGUUGGCUGUAAGUCCAGUGUAGGUAGGGAUCAGGCUAACCCUUAGUUGUUGGCUGUAAGUCCAGUGUAGGUAGGGAUAAGGCUAACCCUUAGUUGUUGGCUGUAAGUCCAGUGUAGGUAGGGAUAAGGCUAACCCUUAGUUGUUGGCUGUAAGUCCAGUUUAGGUAGGGAUAAGGCUAACCCUUAGUUGUUGGCUGUAAGUCCAGUGUAGGUAGGGAUCAGGCUAACCCUUAGUUGUUGGCUGUAAGUCCAGUGUAGGUAGGGAUAAGGCUAACCCUUAGUUGUUGGCUGUAAGUCCAGUGUAGGUAGGGAUAAGGCUAACCCUUAGUUGUUGGCUGUAAGUCCAGUGUAGGUAGGGAUCAGGCUAACCCUUAGUUGUUGGCUGUAAGUCCAGUGUAGGUAGGGAUAAGGCUAACCCUUAGUUGUUGGCUGUAAGUCCAGUUUAGGUAGGGAUAAGGCUAACCCUUAGUUGUUGGCUGUAAGUCCAGUGUAGGUAGGGAUCAGGCUAACCCUUAGUUGUUGGCUGUAAGUCCAGUGUAGGUAGGGAUC